rnacentral:lncRNA from 1 species
UGAUCUCGGACUUUUUGGAAAUGGGAGAGAAAGAUCUACAACUUUGAUGUUGGACAAAAAUCCAUUUGAAUCUUCUUUGAUGAUGUAAAAUCAAGUUGAAUUUGAACCAAAAUCUUUCCAUUUUUGGAAACUUUCAAUUACAGGUCACUUUCCAUUUUCGGAAACUUUUGAUCUGACCUCAAAUUCUUCAAGAUAAGUGUUUGUAAUGACAAAUGAACCU